GGUCCCUGAGCCGACCGGGCUGCUGGCGGGCAGCGACAGGGGCGUGGGCAGCACUGGGGGCCCGCGGGACGGUCACGGGGCCGCCGCAUGGUGCUGCUGCUGCGCCCGGAUCCAGAGCGCCCAGCGUGAGAUGAGAGGCGGGUGCCGGCCCGUGCAGCGACAGCGACAAGUGCUUGGCCGGGCCCGGGGGCACCGCUGCUCCUGCCCAGGCCCCGCAGGCCAGCCAUAGGGCGCUGCUCGCAAUGAGAUUCAUGCUGUUCGCAAGUGCAUACAUGGUGAUUCACGUGUUCAAGGAUCAGGCGGGAUCCCAGCACCUGCACAGCACUGGAUUCUCCCUGAGAGCCUCUCCCGAGAAAAAGCCACCCAGAUCAUCCUGCUUAUGAUCUUCGAAAUGUCAGGAACCAAAAGAUCAUCGGAGUUGGGGUCGCACAACAUGGAAACAGAUGGAUGACAACACUUCAGAAAGGGUCUGUGCCAGCGACCACUCAGAUCUAAGGAAGUGCAGACAGAGCUUCCAUUUCUGUUAAUAUCCGAGGGUGAACUCGGUGGUGAAUGUGAUCUUGGGUGGUUUGAAGGCAUAAUCGGGUAGCAACUGGAUCCUCAGGAAGAAGACCCUUCCUUGGUAGAGGCUGUUGUUGUGCCCCAUUACGGUGGCCUGCCAGUGGAGCACAUCGUGCCCUGCCGGCCCUGCUGAGCCCUGGGCCGGGGGUCGCGGUCCCGGUCGAGCAGCUCCUUGUGGAUGCGCUUUACCGCAGCUGUCCGGAGCUGGGGACUUCUCUGCCCCCAGGCCGUGCUGCUGCCGCCAUGCUGGUUCCCAGCAGCCUGGCCCUGACCCUUGCCCAGGCCGCCUGCAUCCAGCGCUAGCAGCCCGCAGGGACUCGCUCUGUGAGGUCACUAAGGCAGUGUUGACAAGGGCAGGGCCACCCUUCAAAUUUUCAACUGCAUUUUUUUGUGGAAAUAAACAAGCUUACCCUAAAUCUAUAUUUGUGUGUAAAGGAAACCAGAAACCACAAAACAAUCUUUAAAAGGAGUGACAGUAAUCAAAGCACGUAGUAGUAGACGAGGAUAGAUGCAGGUAGACCAAUGAGGAGAUUUAAAGGUUCGUUAAUAAACACAGGCAUUUUCAGAAAGGGGUCAAGAAAUUUCAGAGGAAAGAAAAGUGUUUUGAACAAAUGAUGCUGGUAAAAUUGGAUAUGGAGAUGCAAAAGGGUAAAUGUGGACCCCAAAUUUGAAACACGUGUGACAAAAGUAUUCAAAAAGAUUGUAUAUCUAAAUGCCAGAACUAAAAUAUUCCUAGGAGGAAUAGUAGAGUAUUUUAUUGUGAUCUUGAAUUAGGCAAACAUUUCGUAGAUUUUACACCAAAAGAAUAAUGAAGAGAAAAUUUGAUGAAUUGUCCACCAAAUUUAAAAUUUUUUGUCUUCAAACAUCGUGAAAAUAUAA